rnacentral:rRNA from 1 species
GCCUGAUGCAGCGACGCCGCGUGAGGGAUGACGGCCUUCGGGUUGUAAACCUCUUUCAGCACAGACGAAGCGCAAGUGACGGUAUGUGCAGAAGAAGGACCGGCCAACUACGUGCCAGCAGCCGCGGUAAUACGUAGGGUCCGAGCGUUGUCCGGAAUUACUGGGCGUAAAGAGCUCGUAGGUGGUUUGUCGCGUUGUUCGUGAAAACUCACAGCUUAACUGUGGGCGUGCGGGCGAUACGGGCAGACUUGAGUACUGCAGGGGAGACUGGAAUUCCUGGUGUAGCGGUGGAAUGCGCAGAUAUCAGGAGGAACACCGGUGGCGAAGGCGGGUCUCUGGGCAGUAACUGACGCUGAGGAGCGAAAGCGUGGGGAGCGAACAGGAUUAGAUACCCUGGUAGUCCACGCCGUAAACGGUGGGUACUAGGUGUGGGUUUCCUUCCUUGGGAUCCGUGCCGUAGCUAACGCAUUAAGUACCCCGCCUGGGGAGUACGGCCGCAAGGCUAAAACUCAAA